AUAAAAUUUGGACUUUUCCUAUUCAAUAAAAAAAAAAUCUGUUCUUAUCAGUUUAAUAUCUGAUACGUCCCCUAUCUGGGGACCAUAUAUUAAAUGGAUUUUUGAGAACGGGGGCCGAUUUUGAAGCUUGCUUCUGUCGCCCUAUGGCCCUAUGCAUUGACCCGUUAUGGCAGUAUCUUCAGGUACAGUGCACCACCC